UACGUAGGGUGCGAGCGUUGUCCGGAAUUAUUGGGCGUAAAGAGCUCGUAGGCGGUCUGUCGCGUCGGAUGUGAAAAUCUACAGCUUAACUGUGGGCUUGCUUUCGAUACGGGCAGACUUGAGGCAUGCAGGGGAGAACGGAAUUCCUGGUGUAGCGGUGAAAUGCGCAGAUAUCAGGAGGAACACCGGUGGCGAAGGCGGUUCUCUGGGCAUGUUCUGACGCUGAGGAGCGAAAGUGUGGGGAGCGAACAGG
rnacentral:rRNA from 1 species